AUACGUAGGUGGCAAGCGUUGUCCGGAAUUAUUGGGCAUAAAGCGCAUGUAGGCGGUUUGGUAAGUCGGUCGCGAAAAUGCGGUGCUUAACGCCGUAUGGCGAUUGAAACUGCUGAACUUGAGUGCAGGAGAGGAAAGGGGAACUCCCAGUGUAGCGGUGAAAUGCGUAGAUAUUGGGAAGAACACCGGUGGCGAAGGCGCCUUUAUUGACUGUGUCGGACGCUCAGAGGCCAACGCCGGGUUAGCGAACGGGAUGUGAUACCCCGAUAGUCCUGGCCGUAAACGAUGAGUACUAGGUGUGGGAGGUAUCGCGUCCUUCCGUGCCGGAGUUAACGCAAUAAGUAUCCCGCCUGGGGAGUACGGCCGCAAGGCUUAAACUCAAAUGAAUUGACGGGG
rnacentral:rRNA from 1 species